ACGGCUCAGUAACACGUAGUCAACAUGCCCAGGGGACGUGGAUAACCUCGGGAAACUGAGGAUAAACCGCGAUAGGUCACUACUUCUGGAAUGGGUAAUGACCCAAACCUAUAUGGCCCCUGGAUUGGACUGCGGCCGAUCAGGCUGUUGGUGAGGUAAUGGCCCACCAAACCUGUAACCGGUACGGGCUCUGAGAGGAGGAGCCCGGAGAUGGGCACUGAGACAAGGGCCCAGGCCCUAUGGGGCGCAGCAGGCGCGAAACCUCUGCAAUAGGCGAAAGCUUGACAGGGUUACUCUGAGUGAUUUCCGUUAAGGAGAUCUUUUGGCACCUCUAAAAAUGGUGCAGAAUAAGGGGUGGGCAAGUCUGGUGUCAGCCGCCGCGGUAAUACCAGCACCCCGAGUGGUCGGGACGUUUAUUGGGCCUAAAGCAUCCGUAGCCGGUUCCACAAGUCUUCCGUUAAAUCCACCUGCUCAACAGAUGGGCUGCGGAAGAUACUAUGGAGCUAGGAGGCGGGAGAGGCAAGCGGUACUCGAUGGGUAGGGGUAAAAUCCGUUGAUCCAUUGAAGACCACCAGUGGCGAAGGCGGCUUGCCAGAACGCGCUCGACGGUGAGGGAUGAAAGCUGGGGGAGCAAACCGGAUUAGAUACCCGGGUAGUCCCAGCUGUAAACGAUGCAGACUCGGUGAUGAGUUGGCUUUAUGCCAACUCAGUGCCGCAGGGAAGCCGUUAAGUUUGCCGCCUGGGGAGUACGGUCGCAAGACUGAAACUUAAAGGAAUUGGCGGGGAGCAC
rnacentral:rRNA from 1 species